rnacentral:tRNA from 1 species
GCACCCGUAGCUCAGCUGGAUAGAGCGUUGCCCUCCGAAGGCAGAGGUCACAGGUUCGAAUCCUGUCGGGUGCG